GAUUUUUAUUCACACAUUAUUUUAUUUUAGAAUUUACACAGGAAUCGAUUUUUCUCUCAUUGGCUAUCCUUGCUUUAUUAUUUUCUGCCUCUUUCUCUCACUUUCCGGGAAAAAAGUUUCUCUCUCGUGUCCAUUUUCUUUCACUUUCCCGGAAUAAAAGAUAGGCAUCUUCCUCUCUUUCUCUCCUUCGCUCACUUGCUGGAGAAUUUUUUUCCCGUAGCCAUUUUAUUUUCCUGUGUGAGAUGGGAAAUUGGGUUUAUUCUUUGACUGUUGAAGCAAAUUUCAGUAGUAAUUUGGUAAUAGUUAUUCUAGUCAUUCUCCAUCCCAAUAUAGAAUUGGGUGGAUUUUUUUCAUAGCCUUCCAGGCCACUUGGUGGGUGUUGCUUUCGGAUUAUCAAAACAUGGAUUUAGAGCUGUUACCUUUGACAUGAGAGUCGUCGCAGAUUUUGGAUUAUCAAGACAUGGUUUUAGAGCUGUUACCUUGGACAUGAGGGUCGUUGCAGAUCCACAAGAAAGUUUCUCAAAGCUUGUAUAUGAAUAGGAUUUGUGGGUGGGUUCUUCUGCAGGUGCUGCAGUUUCUGGCAUAACUGAGCAGGCUGUGCUCUUUCGGUGACAUCUUACAGCCAAUUGUGAAUCCACUGAAAUGAAAACGCUUAAUUGUCCAGUUGGGAAACAAGUUGUCCGAGUUGAAGGAUUCAUGGGGUUAGGCAUAAUGUCCAGCACCUGCCCGGAACUUGUCGGGCCCAUUAACAUGAUUCACUACCUGAAGCUGGUAUACUGUAUAUCAUCACUUCAACAAUUUGUCAACAUUACUAGUUGGGAAUGCACAGAUGAACUACUAAAUGCUAUAAUUUUAGUACAACAUACACAUAAAUUAAAAGCUGGGGCACAGACAAGACAUUCGAAUGCAAUUUGCAACUCCAAGGCAGAGCCUCAUACCCACAAAAAUUUUACAUUGUUUCACGCAAUAACACUGACAUAAUAAUUAGUUUUACAUUAAA